GGGCUAUAUGGUAUCAGCUUGUUGGUGAGGUAACGGCUCACCAAGGCUAUGACGCCUAGCUGGUCUGAGAGGAUGAUCAGUCACACUGGAACUGAGACACGGUCCAGACUCCUACGGGAGGCAGCAGUGGGGAAUAUUACACAAUGGAGGAAACUCUGAUGUAGCAACGCCGCGUGGAGGAUGACACAUUUCGGUGCGUAAACUCCUUUUAUAUGGGAAGAUAAUGACGGUACCAUAUGAAUAAGCACCGGCUAACUCCGUGCCAGCAGCCGCGGUAAUACGGAGGGUGCAAGCGUUACUCGGAAUCACUGGGCGUAAAGCGCAUGUAGGCGGUCUUGUAAGUUGGGUGUGAAAGCCUAUGGCUCAACCAUAGAACUGCACCCAAAACUACUAGACUAGAGUCUGGGAGAGGAAAAUGGAAUUAGUUGUGUAGGGGUAAAAUCCGUAGAGAUAACUAGGAAUACCAAAAGCGAAGGCAAUUUUCUGGAACAGUACUGACGCUCAGAUGCGAAAGCGUGGGUAGCAAACAGGAUUAGAUACCCUGGUAGUCCACGCCCUAAACGAUGAAUGUUAGUCGUCGGGAGGCUCGUCCUUUCGGUGAUGCAGCUAACGCAUUAAACAUUCCGCCUGGGGAGUACGGUCGCAAGAUUAAAACUCAAAGGAAUAGACGGGGACCCGCACAAGUGGUGGAGCAUGUGGUUUAAUUUGAAGAUACGCGAAGAACCUUACCUAGCCUUGACAUUGAUAGAAUCCGAUGGAAACAUUGGAGUGCCAGUUUACUGGAGCUUGAAAACAGGUGCUGCACGGCUGUCGUCAGCUCGUGUCGUGAGAUGUUGGGUUAAGUCCCGCAACGAGCGCAACCCUCGUCCUUAGUUACUAACGGUUCGGCCGAGGACUCUAAGGAGACUGCCUUCGUAAGGAGGAGGAAGGUGAGGACGACGUCAAGUCAUCAUGGCCCUUACGGCUAGGGCGACACACGUGCUACAAUGGAUAGGACAAUGAGACGCAAUACCGCGAGGUGGAGCAAAUCUAUAAACCUAUUCUCAGUUCGGAUUGUAGUCUGCAACUCGACUACAUGAAGCUGGAAUCACUAGUAAUCGUAGAUCAGCCAUGCUACGGUGAAUACGUUCCCGGGUCUUGUACUCACCGCCCGUCACACCAUGGGAGUUGAUUUCACCCGAAGCGGGGAAGCUAAACUGGCUACCCUCCACGGUGGAAUCAGCGACUGGGGUGAA
rnacentral:rRNA from 1 species